AGAACGAACGCUGGCGGCAUGCCUAAUACAUGCAAGUCGAACGAAGGCUUCGGCCUUAGUGGCGCACGGGUGCGUAACGCGUGGGAAUCUGCCCCUUGGUUCGGAAUAACAGUUGGAAACGACUGCUAAUACCGGAUGAUGACGAAAGUCCAAAGAUUUAUCGCCAAGGGAUGAGCCCGCGUAGGAUUAGCUAGUUGGUGAGGUAAAGGCUCACCAAGGCGACGAUCCUUAGCUGGUCUGAGAGGAUGAUCAGCCACACUGGGACUGAGACACGGCCCAGACUCCUACGGGAGGCAGCAGUAGGGAAUAUUGGACAAUGGGCGAAAGCCUAGAUCCAGCAAUGCCGCGUGAGUGAUGAAGGCCUUAGGUUGUAAAGCUCUUUACCCGAGAUGAUAAUGACAGUAUCGGAGAAUAAGACCCCGGCUAACUCCGUGCCAGCAGCCGC
rnacentral:rRNA from 1 species